rnacentral:rRNA from 1 species
AAACUUCAACAAUGAUCUCUUGGUUCCGCAUCGAUGAGAACGCAGCGAAUGCGAUAAGUAUGUGAAUGCAGAUCCGUGGAUCAUCGAUCUUGAACGCACAUUGCGCCCCUUGCAUUCCGGGGGCAUGCCUGUCCGAGCGUCAUUU